GGUGCGUGGCUCAGUGGUAGAGCGCUUGCCUAGCACGCAUGAGGCCCUGGGUUCGAUUCCUCAGCACCA
rnacentral:tRNA from 1 species